rnacentral:rRNA from 1 species
AUGGACGCAAGUCUGAUGGAGCAACGCCGCGUGAGUGAAGAAGGGUUUCGGCUCGUAAAGCUCUGUUGGUAGUGAAGAAAGAUAGAGGUAGUAACUGGCCUUUAUUUGACGGUAAUUACUUAGAAAGUCACGGCUAACUACGUGCCAGCAGCCGCGGUAAUACGUAGGUGGCAAGCGUUGUCCGGAUUUAUUGGGCGUAAAGCGAGUGCAGGCGGUUCAAUAAGUCUGAUGUGAAAGCCUUCGGCUCAACCGGAGAAUUGCAUCAGAAACUGUUGAACUUGAGUGCAGAAGAGGAGAGUGGAACUCCAUGUGUAGCGGUGGAAUGCGUAGAUAUAUGGAAGAACACCAGUGGCGAAGGCGGCUCUCUGGUCUGCAACUGACGCUGAGGCUCGAAAGCAUGGGUAGCGAACAGGAUUAGAUACCCUGGUAGUCCAUGCCGUAAACGAUGAGUGCUAAGUGUUGGGGGGUUUCCGCCUCUCAGUGCUGCAGCUAACGCAUUAAGCACUCCGCCUGGGGAGUACGACCGCAAGGUUGAAACUCAAAGGAAUUGACGGGGGCCCGCACAAGCGGUGGAGCAUGUGGUUUAAUUCGAAGCAACGCGAAGAACCUUACCAGGUCUUGACAU